rnacentral:rRNA from 1 species
ACCUGCGGAAGGAUCAUUUU